rnacentral:rRNA from 1 species
GGGCCCGCACAAGCGGUGGAGCAUGUGGUUUAAUUCGAUGAUACGCGAGGAACCUUACCAGGGCUUAAAUGUAAGUUGCAUGGAUCAGAGAUGGUCCUUUCUUCGGACUACUUACAAGGUGCUGCAUGGUUGUCGUCAGCUCGUGCCGUGAGGUGUCAGGUUAAGUCCUAUAACGAGCGCAACCCCUAUCGUUAGUUGCCAACAGGUAAAGCUGGGAACUCUAACGAGACUGCCGGUGCAAACCGUGAGGAAGGUGGGGAUGACGUCAAAUCAUCACGGCCCUUACGUCCUGGCUACACACGUGCUACAAUGGCCGGUACAGAGAGCAGCCACUACGCGAGUAGGAG